GCCUGGGUGGCUCAUUCGGUUGAGCAUCUGACUUCGGCUCAGGCCAUGAUCUCGUGGGUCAUGAGUUCAAGCCCCAAGUCAGGCU
rnacentral:tRNA from 1 species